AUGCUUGCUUCGGCAGCACGCAUACUAAAACUGGAAUAGAAAAUAUUAGCAUGGCUCCUGAGCAAAGAUGACACACACAUUUGUGAAGCAUUCCAUAUUCCA